AUAGGGGGAGAAGUAUAUUGAUGAUUUCAUGCAUUGAAUUGAAUAUUUUAUAUAUAUUUGCAUGAUGGUUUAAAUAUUUUUCAUAACAUGUGAUGAAUGUUACUUGGAUUUGGGAUAAUCCAAGUGUUCUAUCAAUGGCAUAUUGAUAGGGGGAGUUUAGUUAAACUCCGGAGAGUUAAGGUUAACUCCGUUAGUCAUCAAUUAGUUGUCAUCAUCAAAAAGGGGGAGAUUGUUGAAUCUCGGAUUUUGAUGAUGAAAC
rnacentral:lncRNA from 1 species